AAAAUAAAAAUAAAAAUAAAAAAGAGAAAGAAAGAAAAGAAAUAGAAACCUAAAUCUGCUUCUUUAAAACGUAGAAGAGAGAAUAUUCAACAUAAAAUGGAGAAAGGAAAAAAAAAAAAAACCAUUAUAGUAAUACUCCAAAAUGCACACACAUAUCCACGUUCCUCCCUUCAAAAAAACAAGAAAACAUAGAUAAUCUUGCACCUAAGAAGCGAGAAACAGCAGAGAUCCAUAACUAUGAAGACCAAGAUUUU
rnacentral:misc_RNA from 1 species